rnacentral:rRNA from 1 species
UUCUUGGAGAGUUUGAUCCUGGCUCAGGACGAACGCUGGCGGCGUGCCUAAUACAUGCAAGUCGAGCGAACCACUUCG